rnacentral:rRNA from 1 species
AUGCGCCGGAGAGACCGUUUUGUCUUUUGUGCCGAAGCUAUUUAUGAAUCACAGGCCGAAAACAGUGAAAUCAAGGGGCAUUACUUGAAUGCGGCUGCGGGUACAUGUGAAGAAAUGAUUAAGAGAGCUGUAUUUGCAAGAGAAUUAGGGGUUCCUAAUGUAAUGCAUGACUACUUAACUGGGGGAUUCACCGCAAAUACUACUUUGGCUCAUUAUUGCCGCGACAAUGGCCUACUUCUUCACAUUCACCGUGCAAUGCAUGCAGUUAUUGAUAGACCGAAAAAUCAUGGUAUGCAUUUCCGUGUAUUAGCUAAAGCAUUGCAUAUGUCUGGUGCAGAUCAUAUCCACUCCGGUACAGUAGUAGGUAAGUUAGAAGGGGAACGCAAAAUGACUUUAGGUUUUGUUGAUUUAUUGCGCGAUGAUUUUAUUGAAAAAGAUCGUGCUCGCAGUAUCUUUUUCACUCAGGACUAG